GUCAUAUCUCCAAUGACACUGUACACGUCACUACACUCAAUUGGGAAAAUGACAAUGGGAGCAUAGGGGUGCAGUAUAACUACAUGGACUGCUCCACUGCAGCAUGAGAGACUGGGAGGUAACCUGAUCCAGUCUCUGGUCUUCUUGCACUGCCAAGCAGAUAUUACUCUGUCUACAGUUGACGGCCAGCCCAUCCCCACCUGGCUGAAUCUACACUACUCGUUACGGUUAUCUCAGCGGGCAGCGGAGCGGGGACGUCAGCUGACAGCCAUUUCCCAUGAUGCCCCAGGAGGAGCCGUCAAGCUGUCCAUCCAACUGUCAGGUGACCAGUGGUUCCCAUGGUUCCCCCCUCUGCCACUCCAUUGAGCUGAAAGGCUCUAUUAUCUGUGCGUGUUGGAGAGGGACUGCUCAGGCUUUGAUAAGCUAUCACUGGUCCCAGAAACUCUGAACAGUGUCUGAACCCCAAACACAUUUUCAACACAGGCUUUGACUAACGCUUUGUGUUGGAGAAUGGAACCUCAUGCAUGUACAUGAGGUUCUGCUGCUCCAGUUUUAACUGUUCUGCCUGCGGCUAUGGAACCCUGACCUGUUCACCGGACGUGCUUGUUGCACCCUCGACAACUACUAUGAUUAUUAUUAUUUGACCAUGCUGGUCAUUUAUGAACAUUUUAACAUAUUGACCAUGUUCUGUUAUAAUAUCCACCCUGCACAGCCAGAAGAGGACUGGCCACCCCUCAUAGCCUGGUUCCUCUCUAGGUUUCUUCCUAGGUCUUUGGCCUUUCUAGGGAGUUUUUCCUAGGGAGUUUUUCCUAGCCACCGUGCUUCUUUCACAUGCAUUGCUUGCUGUUUGGGGGUUUAGGCUGGGUUUCUGUACAGCACUUUGAGAUAUCAG
rnacentral:lncRNA from 1 species